rnacentral:rRNA from 1 species
UGGGGGAUAUUGCACAAUGGGCGAAAGCCUGAUGCAGCGACGCCGCGUGGGGGAUGAAGGCCUUCGGGUUGUAAACUUCUUUUGCUCUGAACAAGGCAUGCCUUUGGGGUGUGUUGAGUGUAGGGGUUGAUUAGCGCCGGCUAACUACGUGCCAGCAGCCGCGGUAAUACGUAGGGCGCGAGCGUUGUCCGGAAUUAUUGGGCGUAAAGGGCUUGUAGGUGGCUGGUUGCGUCUGUCGUGAAAGCUCAUGGCUUAACUGUGGGUUUGCGGUGGGUACGGGCUGGCUUGAGUGCAGUAGGGGAGGCUGGAAUUCCUGGUGUAGCGGUGGAAUGCGCAGAUAUCAGGAGGAAUACCGGUGGCGAAGGCGGGUCUCUGUGCUGUUACUGAAGCUGAGGAGCGAAAGCGUGGGGAGCGAACAGG